UUAAAUUGAAGAGUUUGAUCAUGGCUCAGAUUGAACGCUGGCGGCAGGCCUAACACAUGCAAGUCGAACGGUAACAGGAAGCAGCUUGCUGCUUCGCUGACGAGUGGCGGACGGGUGAGUAAUGUCUGGGAAACUGCCUGAUGGAGGGGGAUAACUACUGGAAACGGUAGCUAAUACCGCAUAAUGUCGCAAGACCAAAGAGGGGGACCUUCGGGCCUCUUGCCAUCGGAUGUGCCCAGAUGGGAUUAGCUUGUUGGUGGGGUAACGGCUCACCAAGGCGA
rnacentral:rRNA from 1 species